GAAAUACUCCCUCCAUUCGGAAUUACUUGUCUCGGAAAUGGAUGUAUCUAGAAUUAAAAUACGUCUAGAUACAUCCAUUUCUGCGACAAGUAAUUCCGAACGAAGGGAGUAAAAG
rnacentral:pre_miRNA from 1 species